CGUUUCGAUGUGGGAGUUCUGGUUCAGCUCUGAGAUGUGAACUUUUCGCUCCUGUUGUUGCUAAAAAAGCAAAUAUUUCAGUCUAAUUGAGCUUCAGUUGAACCUCUCAGCUCUGUUUAACCGUGCCACGACCCCGUCUUCUGUCGUCAGGAGCCGGGAACGUGAACUGAGGACGAACCGGACCGAGAGUCCGUAGUCCGGUUCAGGCCGGGGUGAAUGAAGAUGUCAGGAGGUGAAAGAUGGCGAUGGUGUUGGGAAAAGAGGAGAGAGAAGAGGACAGAGAGUCAAAAACAUCUUUGUCCUUUUCUGUGUAUUUAAGGACGACAGGGUCACACAGCGGUCGCAGAGAGUCCUGGUCCAGGCCCCGGUCACUUCAUCUGGUUUAGACUUGUUUACUUCCUCCCACUUCAUAAAAACUGGAGCAGAUUCUUUGAGUGUUCAGUGCUGAUACACUCUGUGUGGAAACAUCUAGAAGCAUAAAAUGCAGAUUAUUCAUAUUUAGUGAAUUUUUGUUUGUCGAGUAGAUUUUUCAUUAUUUACUGAAUAAAAAAAAAAAAGAAGAAUUCCUUUUGAUUCCUUUAGAUUCCUGGAGCUGUCGAGGCACGGUGCAUUCAGGGACAGUGUUGAAUGUGUGGACGGUGGUGCUGUCAGAGUGACGGGGGCUAAAGGCUUCGCUCCAUCACAUGACUACAAGGUGUGUGCCACCUACAUGGACGGGUUCAGAGCGACGGCGGUGUGUCCGGUUGGAGGGCCGAGGGCGGUGGACAAGGCCAGACGAACGGCGGACAGCAUCGUCAGACGGACGAAGCGAAUGUUUAAGCAGCUGGGACUGGAGGAUUUCAGCUCCGUCAACGUCCAGGUCCUCGGAGCAGAGGACACUUACGGUGCCAACGCUCACAGCAAGGGCUGCAGAGAGGCCAGUGAUCUGGAUGGCCGUCCACCACAAACAGAAGAAAGCUCUCGAACUCUUCUCCAGAGAAAUCGCUCCUGCAGGGACCGGCAUGGCUCCUGGACUCACCGGUAUAGUGGGCGGACGUCCCCGAGUCUCUCCUGUUCUGAAGCCGUUCUUCUUCUUACACCCAAAGUCUCAGCUGAAGGUGGACGUUCACGUCGGCGGGGAGCUGGUGGAGUCACUUUCAGAGGCGGGGCCAGACACACCUGAGCAGGAAGCCCCGCCCACCUCAGCAGAGGAUGAACCUGACACAGACCUGCCCAGCGGACCACACAGCUACAGACUGGAGGACCUGGCCUACACCCGGAGCGGGGACAAGGGAGACUCGGCCAACAUCGGAGUGAUCGCUCGUCAUCCCCUCUUCUUCCCUUACCUGAAGAAACACCUGACUUCUUCUGUGGUGGAGGAAUAUUUCUCCCACCUCAUCCAGCCGGGAGUUCAGAACGCCGUCACACGGUUCACUCUGCCGGGGAUCCACGGCCUCAACUUCGUCCUGCAGAGUUCACUGGGUGGAGGAGGGGUGGCGUCCUUACGCAGCGACCCCCAGGUUUACGUACAGUGCAUGCAGUGCACGCCACUCGUCAACACUCACAGUUGAAACUGCGGCAUCAGCCCCUGAACCAGCCUGUAUUAAAACAUAGGCCAGGUGACAGAGGACAUCAGUGGGUAAAGCCUUCGGUCAGAUGCUCCUGGACCUGAAGCUGAAAGGACUGCCUGACCUCAAAUCACUGGUGGACUGAGAGACUGAAAGGAAGAGGAGGUUAAUGAGGGUGAGAGGUGUGGGAAACAGACUCAUGACAGCACUUCACAACAAGAAAUGAAAGCGAAAGUGACGCUUCAAAGGACAUUUUACCUCAACACAAACACAGACAGAUCAUUUAUGGAUCAUGUCAGAGAGAAUAUUUCUUGGGAGCUCAGAUUGCGUCCAAAGAAAACAAGAUUAUAAUGUACAAGUCAGUCAGUACAGCCCAAAUUCACAAAUCAGCCUCGGUGCAGCAUGUGAGACUUGGCACAGAUUACAAACAAAAGAGAACAUUCAGGAAACUGUCCAAUAAAACACCACCAUAAAUAAUUUUAAUGAUUAAAGCCUCAAUGUUCAGUUUUGACCUUGGAAAGAACAGUUUGAAAACAAAUGCUCCUUUUAUUCAGCCUGUUGCACCGUUCUCACCCCUCUGAAUAAAACGUACAGAGGCAGAGACAGUUUUCAUGUAAUGGACGAACGGUGUGUCAGUUUCCUGGCUGGACAUCAGAGAUGAACGCUGGUUUUUAAUGACUUUUUAACUGAUCUACAGUUCAGCAUCACUCUGAACUCUCUGGGUCUGAUUCCAGCAGUUAAAGCUGCUGACUAUCACUCAGUUAGAGGGAGAUGGAACCUGAAAAAACAAAGUUACUCAGAGCAACCUCAGAAAACCUCAGCAAACUGCAACAGAGAAGGAGAAGCUGUCAGCUCAAUGACAUUUCCAAUGUUGCCGGAUGAAACUCUGCACUGACAAAAACUUCAACUUGUCUACUCAUCGUACAGAAUCUGAAACACAAACCAACCUUUGUGCCAAGACGAACAGAGGCCACUGAGGCCUUUUCUCUUACAUAAGUGAAACAUGAAAUACAGUAAUAAGUCAAACCCACAUUAGAGUCUCUUGUCUCUCAGUCUCAGACUCUCAGUCUCUCCUGUCACACUGCUGAAGCAUCACAAUCAUUUUCUCUGACACUCAGUGUUUUUCAGACUUUAGUCUUUUAUCUGUGUCAGCUGUGAUUCUUGGCUGUUGACUGUUUUUCCUUUCGGGUUCAUUUCUGCAGUAAAGACGUCGGAGACUCGUUUGCACUCAUCAUGAAUUUCUUUAAAGCCGUUUCUCACAUAUGAACUCCGGACAACGCGCAGGGAAUCCGGUCCAAACGUUGUCCGGAGUAUUCUGUUGUCUGGAGCCGGCAGGAUAAAGUUUGUUUAAUGUCCAGUCCAACUGAUUUGGACAUUUGCGUUCACACAGAGAGACGCCCUGUAUUGUCUAGAAAAGUUUGGGUUUGCAGUGCAUGUCUAAAAGCAGCUGAAAACACCAGCCUUCAUAAACUCCUGCAGAUUAAACUGAGACUCUGUUUUCUAAACUACUUCUUCCAAGGAUAAGAAUGAACUUUGAAGCUCAACUCUUGAGCCAACAUGGAUGAGAAGUCGUUAAAUCUCCAUCCAUCUACUUCUGUGAUAUGACUGAAAGCUCCAAAACAGCUACUAAAUGGCCUUUGAGGGGACACUGGUUAAUAAACCUCCAGUUAUUUUGUCAGGAUUUUAUGGUAUAAGCAGGAGAUUUGUUGUUUUUUCAAGUUUUAGCCCUUGAUCUACAGAACAGUCCUUUUAACAACAUGAACACCACAGUCAUUGCGGUGUGGUCCAGCUCUUUUAAAAGCUGGUAAAUGGCUGCCUGCCAUCAUCACCAUCAUGUGAAAGAUUUUCCGUCCCAGAGGGUUGGAUGUCGAAGAUACAGAGGGCAUUCGUGGAGGCAAACGUGCAGAUUUCCCUCCAGAAUCUGCCUCUGACUUCCCUGAGAGGAGAGAGCGGUGGUUUGGGUUUUCCCUCGGAGGGUAAACAAAGUCUCCACCACGGCGACAAGACGCUCCAGUCAGAUAUCAGAGGAGACACAUGCUCUCAGGCCUCAGGUCCAACAGGCCCAAUGCCUGGUUUCCCCCGGAUCCUUCACCUCGAUGCGACCCGGCUCCGAUGUUCGCCACCCCGCAGGAAUGUGUGUCUCCUUCCACCAGACCGACUCUCUGGCCUCCAGUCUGUUUAUCUAUAAUUGCAAACAGGCUGAGGCUGCAGCUUCCGUCAUGGCUGAAAACUCAUCUUACCCACCUCCUCUGAAUCAUCCCCCCACCCCCAAAUCUUCCUCCUCACGCUGUUGCAGUUUGCUCUCAUCAGAAAAACAGAAAAUCCCCUUUGCUUUUUUCCCUCUUUGGAUUUUUAACUUUUUCCUGGCGCUUCUCUCUUAAUGUGGCCGUUCUUUGGUUCCAGGAAAAUUGAUCAGCCACUCUUUCUCUGACCUUUGACCACUUUUGGUUCUUUGAGAAACUCGUGAUCUUGGUACAAAAAAGUAUUUCAUAAAUUUGACGAUCCCAAACACAAAAAAGAAACCGCACUAGACAGCCUCCCUAAACCAAUAAAUAAACAGUGGCCUUGUAAAUGGAUGUUCAAAGACUUUUGUGCCCAAUAAAACCUAAGAGACAGGAAGACAAAUCCUUCCAGGCUUGAAUUGAAAACAGCGUUGCAUGAGUAUAAAUCAGGCCAAUAACAGAGGAAUCACACAGGAAAAAUAAAAGUCCAUGGGCGUGUCUUUGGGAUUCAGAAAAUGACACUGAAGUGGUCAGAAUUGAAGAGCGAGGUGUUAAAAUGAAAGCUGUAAAUCCCCGCUCAUUUCCUGUUUUCAUAAAACCCCAAAUUGAAAAAAGUCACGAGCGACAAUAUCAUCACUUUACAUGGAAAUACACUGACAUCUUAAUGAUGACUGUGAGGCCUCAGAGCGAAACUUAUGGUUCACAUCUGUCCUGCAUAUUGCUGCUUCCCAAAGCUCCGACCCUGUGAUUCCCAGGAAAUAUUUUUGCUAAUUAUUUGGAGAAACUCUUCAUCAUUGUGAAAGAACAUUUUCUGGCUAAUUCUUCGUGUAACCCCCCAAAAACAUAACACGAACCAUUUGAUGUUUUCCAAAGCACUUCAUGUAGCCCUGAGUGUGUAGAGAGAGAAUUUUCAAGCAAGUGUUGCUCAUUUUCUGACAUGUUUUAGUCAUUUCUGUUGUCGUAGUAGACUUUCCUUCAGCCAAUUUUUGAGUCUAAACACAAGUUGUUGUGAAACCAUUGAGGUCAAACUUCAUAAAACUUCACAUGGUUUCUAUAAAAAAAAAAAGAAAAGAAAAGAAAAACUAAACAAAUGUCUGUCCAAAAACAUAUAAGUAGAUAAAUUCUUGCUAAUUCAGUUAGAUCAUUUUAAAACAGAAAAAAAUAGAAUAAAAUUACCAUCAGUUAAAAGCUGUCUCAAUCUAUUGAAGAGCUUUUUUUGUGAGGGUCAUUAAUUUCUGUACCUAAUUUCAUGGAAAUCCAUCUAGUAGUACUUUGAAAGGUCCAAGAACAGUUUUUAUUUUUUGCAGAUUUAAAAUAAACAACAGAAACAUGAAUGUUUAAGGUAAAGAAAAAGCAAUUUAAGUUGUCGGACUCUGGUCAAACUAUGCAACAUUUAUCAACGGAGCAGCUUUUAUUCCUUUGUAAUUAUCCAAUUUCCAUGGUAAUCCAUCUAGUUUUUUCUUUUUAAAAGAUAUUUUCAUCUGGAACAAGAACAAAGACCCACAAAUUCAGCCAUGUAGAAUGCCUAAUAACUAGGCAUAUAAUAAUUUCAACAAUUUGAAAUCAACCAAUAAAAACAUGAAAACUUUCUUGAAGUUGGAGGUUUUUGGACAGAUUCUCCUCAAAUUCUGUAACAUUAAACCACAAAAGAGCCUUUAUGCCUUUGUUAUAUAACACACUAAAGACCAUGAACAUUUGUUCCUAAGUUCAUGGUAAUCCAUCCAGUAUUUUUUCCUAGAAACUUUAUUCUGGACUAUAUUGUUGCUGGCUGGGCAAAUAAGCAAAGGUCCAAGAAUUGAUCCUUGUGAAAUUCCAGACAAUUUCUGUUGUUUCAACAGUUUUAGUUUUAUCAACGGAUAAAAACAGUGGAGGUUUUGAACAGAUUCUUGUCAAACUAUGUAAUAUUAAUCCACAGAAGAGGCUUUACUCAUGUUAUUUAAGACACUAAAGAUCAUGAACAUCUGUGCCAAACUUCAUGGUAAUCCAUCCAACAGUUGUUAAGAUCUGGUCCAUAAUGUUGGUAGUUGGGCAAAAAAUACAAAGGCCCAAGAAUUGAGCCUUGUGGAACACCAGAUAGUUUGUUAUUUCAACUGUUUUCCAUCAACCAGUAAAAACAUAAAAGCUUCUCUAAGUAAGACAAAAAUUGGCGAACGUUGAUCAUGGCCUGUUGUCAAACUCUGUAAUAUCUUUCCACACAAGAGCCGUUUCAUCUGUUAUUUAAGACCCUACAGACCAUGAAUGUUUGUACCAAAUUUCAUGGUGAUCCUUCCAGUGUUUAUGGAUAUCUGGGCCAGACUGCUGCUAGUCAGGCGAAAAACUAAAGGUCCAAGAAUUGAACCUGUGGAACACCAGAUGCUUUUUCAUUAUCACAGUUAAACUGACCAGUGGAAACAACAAGAAGUCUAACUUGUCUAAAAUCAAAGAAAACUGGUUUGAGUUCUUGUUCUUACUCUGGUCAAACUAUGAUUUUAUGUUUUCAUGGAUGUAGCAUUAACUCACAUUGAAGAGUCAGUCAAUAUGGCGCUCAGGACAAACUACAGAAACAUUUUAUUUUUAGUUUUCUGAUGAAUGUUAGAAGUACUUUUUUGUUUCUCAGUUUCUGUUGACUUUUCAGGGCAUGACAUGUUUUCAGGGGAAGCUAAACUCUCUCCACAUGAAGCCUUAUUGUAGAGCUACAUGUGCGUUUUGUAUCACUGUGUUGAUUUUAUUAAAUAGAGCACCACUUCAGUUUAACUCUCUCUACAUGUUACUGCUCUUCGUCCAUUUGGGGGAAAAAAAAAACUUUUUGAACUUGAAACUCAGAAAUAUUUUUAAACCACAUAUAAUUAAACCAUAGAAACAGAAAUCUUUUAAUUAAAGAUUUUCGAUGACUAAAAAUGUAAAUUAUAACGUAAAGAAAAAACAACACACUUCUGCCUUGUUUGAUUCUUCUGUUUUCUGCAGAGAACAUCAUUGAAUGCAUUUAAAUAGUGAGUUGAUGUCUGUAUGAUUUUGUAGAUAAUAAACUGAAGAGAUUAAAAAUA